UACGUAGGGUGCAAGCGUUAAUCGGAAUUACUGGGCGUAAAGAGCGCGCAGGCGGUUUGGUAAGACAGAUGUGAAAUCCCCGGGCUUAACCUGGGAAUUGCAUUUGUGACUGCCCGGCUAGAGUGUGUCAGAGGGGGGUAGAAUUCCACGUGUAGCAGUGAAAUGCGUAGAUAUGUGGAGGAAUACCGAUGGCGAAGGCAGCCCCCUGGGAUAACACUGACGCUCAUGCACGAAAGCGUGGGGAGCAAACAGG
rnacentral:rRNA from 1 species